CCCGUAACGAGCGCAACCCUUGUCCUUAGUUACCAGCACGUUAUGGUGGGCACUCUAAGGAGAGUGCCGGUGACAAACCGGAGGAAGGUGGGGAUGACGUCAAGUCAUCAUGGCCCUUACGGCCUGGGCUACACACGUGCUACAAUGGUCGGUACAAAGGGUUGCCAAGCCGCGAGGUGGAGCUAAUCCCAUAAAACCGAUCGUAGUCCGGAUCGCAGUCUGCAACUCGACUGCGUGAAGUCGGAAUCGCUAGUAAUCGCGAAUCAGAAUGUCGCGGUGAAUACGUUC
rnacentral:rRNA from 1 species